UGAGUGUGUGUGUGUGAGUGUGUGUCGCUCCAGGUCCACGCUCAUGCACACACCCACA
ensembl:miRNA